ACCGUUUCCCUCCCCCCUGCCUCCCCCCGCCGACGCACCCGGAAUCUCCGCCGAGCCCCCAGCACGGCUUCGCGCUCGGGGCCCCGAUGCCCCUGGGGCACCUCGACAGUCUGUCCUGGCGCCGCGCUCGUCGGUCCGGCGGGGAAUGGUUGGUCGGUCGGUCGGUCGCCUCCUAGGGCGAUGGUCUGCAGGCCCCCUUUCAGGGGCACAGAAAGGCAGAGGAGGGCCCUGGGGCAAACCAAAAGGAAAAGAGCUGAUGGUGGAUGUCACGACCCGGGCUGGACAGACCAGGGAGUCGUGUUGCGUUCGGAAUUCCCUCGGGCUAAACUAAGGAACUGCCAUGAAACUAUCUCAGCGACCCGUGUAACCCAUGGUAACCAUAUACCUCAAUUCAGGGAAUAAGGAAAGCCCUCCCGUUGCGUCACGAGGUUCAGAGCGGACAGCGGUCCCCCUCUGCUUUCUAGACUCCUUCUCCGAGAAGUGCCGUGGGACGGCUGGAUCCGCUCCUAGUCCCAGACUUGGUCAGCGGUUUAUGUCUAAAGGGAUGAGGUGUAGGGAUUAUGAAAAAGGAGAGAGGAAGAGGAAAUGAAAAGAGAAAGAUCUCACCGCCCCUGGGCCCAGCGUUGCUCCAGUCUAAAGGUCCAGUUCCAGAAGGCGCGCGCGCGGGACUUCCGUUUGUGUCCUUUCAUCAUCUCCUUGCCCCUCCAUCGGGCGGGCACUCUGACUCAUUAGGCUAAUUAGCUGUCAUGCGCGGUUUGUGCUUUCAGAACCUUCAGGAAAUGGGUCGGUGGGCUUGGGGGUCGUUUGAGGAGUAACUUCUCCCUCCCUGCAGGCGUGACCGUUGUUUGGUCCUUGGCCGCACAGGGUGAGCUGCCCCGCUCAGCGUAUCGGGACACGGACGCCCUCCGCGUCCUGCCGCAGACGUCCUGUGCCGGUCUGUGCUGAUCGGCUUCUCACCUGCGGUUCGUUGUUAUGCCGGGUUAAUUGUUAUGCAGGGUUCGUCAUUAAGCAGAACUUGCGCCACCCACAAUGCUUGAGACGUUAACUCUUUCAGUCUCUCACAGUGGAGAACACCAAAAAGCACCCAGAAAACUGUGGGAGAGGGGAGAAAGCUGAACGGAGAAUUUUGUUGCCCACUGCAGGACAAACAGGACCCUGAGGCUCACCAGAAGGCACAUGGAGGGCUCGGGGGCAACCCAGACCGUGAACUGAGGGUUCUGGGGCACACCAACAUGCAAACAGAGGCUGCAAGGUGCCUCAAAAUGUCCUCAAAAUCUGAGGACAUCAGAAAGCAAACUGGGGACACAAUGGCGUACCUAGGUGAAAAAGGUUGUUUCUGCCAGGCAAGUGCAAGGCCUUGGGGUGUAUGGGAAGCCAAGUGGAAGACCGUAAGGCAUGUGUCUCUACAGCUUUAUUACCUAGUAUACUUGGGAAUAAGUCACCAUGUAAGACUCUGUGUGUGUCUGUCUUUCCCUUCCACCUUGUUCGGAUUGCUCCCACCACUCUAUCCUCACCUUCAUUAUUGAAUUUCUCAUGCAAGGACAGCAUGUAAGCUGAGACUUUUUAGUAACCGACUUUCAUUUACUUGCCUUGCCAGAUGUGCAGCAGCUGUGGGGGGGGGGGGGGGGGGGGUGUCUGAAAAAGUCCUGGGCAUUACCAGGAGGGAUACAGAUGACAAGACAAAAAGCUCCAGAAAACCUUGGUGAAUCCACAUCCUCAGUACUGUAUGCUGUCACAUUCUCUGCAUCUUAUGAAGGACAAAGUUUUGAGUUGGAAAGGUACAAAGCUACCAUCUCGUAUAAGGUGAGCCUGAAUAGGCUGCGGUUUCUAACAUCCGCUAACACUGGCGGGGGUAUGAGAGGCAUGAGAGGCAUGGACUGUGGAAAGAGGUGGGACUUACGUGCUCCUCCUAAACUGCAUCUCCUGUUGCCCCUGUUAGGGACAGAAUAACAGUAUAGACUUACAACGAUAGCUCCAGCCCAGCAGGACAUUUUGUAUGUUCUUAGGACAUGUGGUACAGAGAAGAAUGGAAUGGAAAAGUGAUUAGUAGACCACUGUGCUGCAUCAGUUUCUUUGUAUCAGUUAGACCUCUUUCUCCACUGAAAGAGUAAAUGCCAAUCCCAGUGGUUGAAACCCUGAAAUUAUUAGGAAUGCCAUAAUUGGCUUGCAGAGGAAAACAUAUCUGUAAAUUUUUGAGUCUCUAGACACAGUAUAGCUCAGAAAUAAAGAUCAAAAUUUUAUUUCCAUGUUGGUAAUAAAAAUAAUUCCAUGACUUCUGUAAACCAUUGCAUAAACGCUAUAGUGUAGAAAAGUUUUAACAAGUGUUAACAAUUUUAAACAGUUCACUACAAGUAAAUGAGUAUGCAUUAUAAAUAAUACGUUUUGUAUUAAGAACAAUUUCAUUCACAAAAUCAUUUCUGUCUGUACACUCAAAACAUUAACGGCUUCCAUAAAUUAAUAUGACUAAAAAUUCCGUAUUUAUUUAGGGUCUGAUGAUGACCACAGUUACACAAGCAUAGUGUGACAGUAAUAAUAUUACUACCUAUAUUUAAUACUAGGAUACUCUGAAUGGCAAUAUAGAACAAAACAAGUAUGUCUUUAAUAAUCUGCUAUUCAAAGAAGACUAAUAAUAAGCCUGUAACAUGCAGCUUGGGAUCUAUCUGUAAUUAGCAUACUUCUGGUUAAAUUACAGCUCCUAACUGUAAAAACCCUGAGAAAUCACAUUUUUAAUCUAUUAUUCCCCAGGCUAAAAUAAUUGUGACAACAUUAUGGCAUUCACAUUUAAAAUUAUAUUCUUACAUAAAUUAACACAGAACUUUGUCAAAUACCAAAAUGAAUCUUGAAAAUAUAUGUAGUUUGCUUUUAUGUAUUUUGUGAAUUCAGCAAAUUACCAUAUUGUAGUCUCGCUAAAAUAUAAUUUUAAUGUAUCCAGUUUCUAGAUAAUGUAUGUAGUACAAGGAUGAAUACUUACAAAGGUCAGGUUUCACUUCUGACUUCUUCCAAAUAGUCGUCUCUAGUCAACUGCAUGUAUUUUAUUAUCCUCCAUUUUAAAGUAGUGGUGUAAAAGUGCAUACUUACUUGUUUUUGCAGUCAACUUGCUUAAUAAGAUACAGAAAACUUUGCUUGUAAUUCCUCACAAAAAGAAUUUUGUGAAGAACAACUGUAUUAUUUUCAUAUGACUGCUAUGUUAUGAUGAUGCAUGGUUCAAGUGAUUACCUAAGGAUUCAUCUAUAAUUAUAGCAAGCCAUCCAGUCUGAGAAUUUCACAUAUAGGUAUGUUUCUUUGGUAUGUGUUUUUUCCUUCUCCACAAAAUGGUUUGUUGACAGUUUUUAAAUGUGUCUGUAUUUCAGCACCAAAGAAACUUACAGGGAACACCUGCAAAAUUUUCAGUACUGAUAUUACUACAGGACACACAUAAUUAUUUUCAAGAUUCAUCAUUGUAAAACAACAAAACAUACAACUUAAAAAAGCAACAGACUAAAUAUAUUAGUUAAUUUCCUCUAAAAAUGCAGCACACAUAAACUAUGAAUGUCAAUGUGAUGAUUCACACUGCAAGUGCUGUUUACAUUCCUUUUUUGUUGGUGUCAUGACAUUACGAAAAUCGCCUGUUAGUACCAAAAAAAGGGACCACAAAAUAGCCCUAGGACAUAGGCAAAUGCACUAAAAUACACAUGAAGAACGAUAAACUUUGACAAGACAGCACAAAACCAAGCUUCCAUAUCUCGUCGGUAACAAAUGUCACAUAGCUGCAUAUGGGCAGCACAACGUGGCCCGAAGCUGGUUUCUUCUAAAAUACCAAAGCAAAAAUUUUCACUAAGAUAUUUCUGAAUGUUUUUGUGAGCACAAUGGUUGCAGAAUGCUGUUCCACACUAGAUAAAUAUAGUAGACUGGUGUCCAAAACAAAUGCUUGUUUGAAAAAUAUGUAACAUAAUUUCAAACUAUAAUUACAUAUUAUUCUUUGAUUUGCUCACUGUUUGAAAAAACAAAACCCUUACAUAACUAAGUUUGCUUUAGUCCAAAAUGCUGUUAAAGUUCAAAAAUCAGUCUUUGUCAUAGACUGCACAGAUGCAAAAAAUACAUUAAUACCUACAGCCAAACUUGGUGAUACAAGUUCCUUUUUUUUAAAAGUCCAAAGCUGGCUACACCUUUAAAAUGGCAAUAUCUUAUUUUAGGACAGAAAAGUGUGUUGGAAAAUGCAAAUACAGUCCAAUUUUAUACUUUUCUCAGUACAAACAUUUUAGAGAAACUGUGUUAAAGUCAACAAAAUCACAUUAUUAAACCCAACUUUGGUCUUUAAAGUGAUCUUCAGACAAAAUUUUGAAACAGAAUCAAGUAGAAAUGUAUUUAAUAUUUUAUCCUACUUCUCCCUUCCCAAAAGGUCUCAAAUGUUCCUGCAGAUCAACAUGUCUUAGGAAAGCAGUGACAAGCCUGUACAUUUAGUUCUCACGGAAAACGUGUAAUGAUUUUUUGCUAACUCAAGCCUUUGUACAAAGAACGCUAAAACCCAAAGGAGAUAGUUAUUUCAGUACUAUUGGCUUGGGCCCUUUAUUUAACGCUGACACAGUUAUAAAAGCUCCAUCUUGACAAUAAUAAUUUUAGUAUACAUCUUGUUUUUUGUUUUAGCAUGACUGAACUUUAAAUAGAUUAACUCUUUGCUGCCUAUGUGAACUCACUUUUUGUACUAAAUACAGUAAUACUGAGAUAGAAAUCAUGUAACACAGUAGUAGGUCAUUUCAAUCUAAGUUGUACUAGUGUCACACCUUAAUUUAACAGUAAAAGGAGUAAUGCAGGCAAUUAUUCCAUGUAAGAAAAGUAAAAAUAUACAGUGUUAACAUGCCGUAAUUAACUAACUACUCCUCCUGAACUGCAUGUUCCCAACUACCAGGAUGAAGUAAGGAUAUUACCACCUUUUAAAAGAAUCACUGUGUCAAAGUGUCACUGCCUGAUUACAUAGUUAAAUAAUUUUGUAGUUUCUUUCAAACAUGCAUUACUUCAUUACUGAAAAAAGUGUGGUUUUAAAUAUUUAUAAAAGCAAGAGACAUAUUCUAGUUAUUGUCAAAUUGUUCAAUACAAAAUUAAGCAAUAGAAAUUAUUUGCAAAAUUCUUUUUUUAUGUCUUCUGCCAUUUUAUAGGAUAUUGGGCAUAGGCACUUGGUAAUAUUUUAUAUAUCAUAUCCGUUCCCAAUGAGUACCACACAGGUUAGAUGUACAAAAACUUAAAGACUACAAACACCCAAACUGAGGGAAAUAUGCAAAUGCACAGUUGUUUACUAAAACUGAUCUGUUUCUCAAAUUGAAAACAUGUCUUUGAAUAUGAAAGCGUAUGUGCCUCACUCGUUUUUUCUCCGCUGGUACAUUUAUAAAUACUACAGUACGCAGUUAACUUAUAAAUUGUAAAAAAACUA